AUGGCAUCACCAGAAACCAAGAAGAUGGUAAGGCCUGGAGGUGGCAGAGCUGAAGAGAGUACAUGACCCAGCAGAAGAAAUAAGCACAAAUACAAAUGGUGACAGAAAAAUAAGAUGUGUCACAACUGACUUAGAUUCCAACAACCACAACAGCACAGAGGAGGAAGCGAGGUGGUGCUCCCUGGAAUGACCCAAACACAACAAUAUCUGAGCUUGCUCUUGAAGGACUAGCAGUUUACCAAGCAAAAUGGAAAACAGAAAUUGAGUCCAGGUCUAGAUAUCAAGAAGCACAAAGAGAUCCAGAAAAGACCAUGGAGAAUUCAAAGACCAGCAACAGGCUUCAAAAGCCUUCUAUGAAUAGGGCAUGUAAGGAUUUGCUGGGGGCAAGGGUGGGUUUGAGAGCUGGAGAUGGAGAUGAAAUUAGUGAACACCAUGCCUCUCUCUUGUACUAAAGAGGCCGCAGGGAAGACAAAGCUCAGUUGUAUUCAACAAAGGCCACUCAGGUAGCACCAUAAAGGAAGAGCUGUAACACGGACACGGGAGUAGUGGAAUCAGUCAAGAGGGAAUUUCAAAGGUCAAAGAUGAAAGGCUGGCUGGGCGCGGUGGCUCACGCUUGUAAUCCCAGCACUUUGGGAGGCCGAGGUGGGCGGAUCACGGGGUCAGGAGAUAGAGACCAUCCUGGCCAACAAGGUGAAACCGCAUCUCUACUAAAAUACAAAAAAUUAGCCGGGCAUGGUGGUGCGUGCCUAUAGUUCCAGCUACUCCGGAGGCUGAGGCAGGGGAAUCUCUUGAACCCAGGAGGCAGAGCUUGCAGUGAGCCAAGAUCGCGCCACUGCACUCAAGCCUGGAGACAGAGGGAAAGUCCAUCUCAAAAAAAAAAAAAAAAAAAAAA
rnacentral:lncRNA from 10 species